rnacentral:pre_miRNA from 1 species
ACUGAAUUCUUUUGAUGCGUAGAUUGACUCCGUUUAGUAUUCUAGCACCAUUGGAAUUCAGUUUA